rnacentral:rRNA from 1 species
GAUGAACGUUGGCGGCGUGCUUAACACAUGCAAGUCGAACGAUGAAGCCCAGCUUGCUGGGUGGAUUAGUGGCGAACGGGUGAGUAACACGUGAGUAACCUGCCCUUAACUCUGGGAUAAGCCUGGGAAACUGGGUCUAAUACCGGAUAGGAGCGCCUACCGCAUGGUGGGUGUUGGAAAGAUUUAUCGGUUUUGGAUGGACUCGCGGCCUAUCAGCUUGUUGGUGAGGUAUGGCUCACCAAGGCGACGACGGGUAGCCGGCCUGAGAGGGUGACCGGCCACACUGGGACUGAGACACGGCCCAGACUCCUACGGGAGGCAGCAGUGGGGAAUAUUGCACAAUGGGCGCAAGCCUGAUGCAGCGACGCCGCGUGAGGGAUGACGGCCUUCGGGUUGUAAACCUCUUUCAGUAGGGAAGAAGCGAAAGUGACGGUACCUGCAGAAGAAGCACCGGCUAACUACGUGCCAGCAGCCGCGGUAAUACGUAGGGUGCGAGCGUUAUCCGGAAUUAUUGGGCGUAAAGAGCUCGUAGGCGGUUUGUCGCGUCUGUCGUGAAAGUCCGGGGCUUAACCCCGGAUCUGCGGUGGGUACGGGCAGACUAGAGUGCAGUAGGGGAGACUGGAAUUCCUGGUGUAGCGGUGGAAUGCGCAGAUAUCAGGAGGAACACCGAUGGCGAAGGCAGGUCUCUGGGCUGUAACUGACGCUGAGGAGCGAAAGCAUGGGGAGCGAACAGGAUUAGAUACCCUGGUAGUCCAUGCCGUAAACGUUGGGCACUAGGUGUGGGGACCAUUCCACGGUUUCCGCGCCGCAGCUAACGCAUUAAGUGCCCCGCCUGGGGAGUACGGCCGCAAGGCUAAAACUCAAAGGAAUUGACGGGGGCCCGCACAAGCGGCGGAGCAUGCGGAUUAAUUCGAUGCAACGCGAAGAACCUUACCAAGGCUUGACAUGUUCUCGAUCGCCGUAGAGAUACGGUUUCCCCUUUGGGGCGGGUUCACAGGUGGUGCAUGGUUGUCGUCAGCUCGUGUCGUGAGAUGUUGGGUUGAGUCCCGCAACGAGCGCAACCCUCGUUCCAUGUUGCCAGCACGUAAUGGUGGGGACUCAUGGGAGACUGCCGGGGUCAACUCGGAGGAAGGUGAGGACGACGUCAAAUCAUCAUGCCCCUUAUGUCUUGGGCUUCACGCAUGCUACAAUGGCCGGUACAAUGGGUUGCGAUACUGUGAGGUGGAGCUAAUCCCAAAAAGCCGGUCUCAGUUCGGAUUGGGGUCUGCAACUCGACCCCAUGAAGUCGGAGUCGCUAGUAAUCGCAGAUCAGCAACGCUGCGGUGAAUACGUUCCCGGGCCU